rnacentral:lncRNA from 1 species
UUGUCCAGAAACAGUGAGAAUGCUUCUCAGGGCAGGAGCAAAAGGCCAGCAUUAGGAGAAGACCUGUUCUGGGGACAGUUAGACCCUGCUGCCCCAGCUCUCACCACAUCCCCCGUGAGGAUGCAUCUGGAAGGAGGAGGUUGAUUUCAGAAAGGCUGUACCU